CAAGGGUUCUGUGUGUGUGUGUGUGUGUGUGUGUGUCUGUCUGUCUGUCUGAGACAGACAGACAGACAGAGACACACACACACACACACACCCAAAGG
rnacentral:pre_miRNA from 1 species